UACGAAGGGGGCUAGCGUUGCUCGGAAUCACUGGGCGUAAAGGGUGCGUAGGCGGGCCUUUAAGUCAGGGGUGAAAUCCUGGAGCUCAACUCCAGAACUGCCUUUGAUACUGAGGAUCUUGAGUUCGGGAGAGGUGAGUGGAACUGCGAGUGUAGAGGUGAAAUUCGUAGAUAUUCGGAAGAACACCAGUGGCGAAGGCGACUCACUGGACAUGUAUUGACGCUGAGGUGCGAAAGCGUGGGGAGCAAACAGG
rnacentral:rRNA from 1 species